ACGCUCACUUCAACAUCACAGAUGUUAAAACUGGAACGACCCAGAGAUCAUUAGCAUGACCUCUGCACAAGGAUGAGAGGCAAACUCAUGAAGGAUCCUUAUUUAAA